GAUGAAGAACGUAGCGAAAUGCGAUACUUGGUGUGAAUUGCAGAAUCCCGUGAACCAUCGAGUCUUUGAACGCAAGUUGCGCCCGAAGCCAUUAGGCCGAGGGCACGCCUGCCUGGGCGUCACACGUCGUUGCCCCCCCAUCUACUCCUUCGGGAUUGCGGGGGGCGGAUGAUGGCCUCCCGUGCGCCUCGUCGCGCGGUUGGCAUAAAUGCCAAGUCCUCGGCGACGCACGCCACGACAAUCGGUGGUUGCGAAACCUCGGUUGCCCGUCGUGUGCGGUCGUCGCGCAUCGAGGGCUCGAAAAAAUUGCCGGGCUCCGGCUCGGCUUUCAACGCGACCCCAGGUCAGGCGGGGUUACCCGCUGAAUUUAAGCAUAUCAAUAAGCGGAGGA
rnacentral:misc_RNA from 1 species